GACGAACGCUGGCGGCGUGCUUAACACAUGCAAGUCGAACGAGUGGGAACGGGUGAGUAACACGUGGGUAACCUCCCAUCAGAGGGGAUAACACUUGGAAACAGGUGCUAAACCGAUACUGAUGGAUGGCUCCGCGGUGCAUUAGCUAGUUGGUGAGGUAACGGCUCACCAAGGCCACGAUGCAUAGCCGACCUGAGAGGGUGAUCGACCACGUUGAGACUGAGACACGGCCCAGACUCCGACGGGAGUAAGCAGUAGGGAAUCGUCGGCAAGGGACGAAAUUCUGACGGAGCGACGCCGCGUGAGGGAAGAGGGUUUUCGGAUCGUAAAACGCUGUUGUUAGAGAAGCGGUAUCUAACCAGAAAGCCACGGCUAACUACGUGCCAGCAGCCAGGGUAAUAC
rnacentral:rRNA from 1 species